GGGUUGUGAGGUUAAGCGACUAAGCGUACACGGUGGAUGCCCUGGCAGUCAGAGGCGAUGAAGGACGUGCUAAUCUGCGAUAAGCGUCGGUAAGGUGAUAUGAACCGUUAUAACCGGCGAUUUCCGAAUGGGGAAACCCAGUGUGUUUCGGCACACUAUCAUUAACUGAAUCCAUAGGUUAAUGAGGCGAACCGGGGGAACUGAAACAUCUAAGUACCCCGAGGAAAAGAAAUCAACCGAGAUUCCCCCAGUAGCGGCGAGCGAACGGGGAGGAGCCCAGAGCCUGAAUCAGUGUGUGUGUUAGUGGAAGCGUCUGGAAAGGCGCGCGAUACAGGGUGACAGCCCCGUACACAAAAAUGCACAUAUUGUGAGCUCGAUGAGUAGGGCGGGACACGUGGUAUCCUGUCUGAAUAUGGGGGGACCAUCC
rnacentral:rRNA from 1 species